UUGUUGGUAAGGUAAAGGCUUACCAAGGCUUCGAUCAGUAGCUGGUCUGAGAGGACGGCCAGCCACACUGGGACUGAGACACGGCCCAGACUCCUACGGGAGGCAGCAGUGGGGAAUUUUGGACAAUGGGGGAAACCCUGAUCCAGCCAUGCCGCGUGAGUGAAGAAGGCCUUCGGGUUGUAAAGCUCUUUCAGCCGGAACGAAACGGUUACGGAUAAUACUCGUGACUACUGACGGUACCGGAAGAAGAAGCACCGGCUAACUACGUGCCAGCAGCCGCGGUAAUACGUAGGGUGCGAGCGUUAAUCGGAAUUACUGGGCGUAAAGCGUGCGCAGGUGGUUUUGUAAGUCAGAUGUGAAAGCCCCGGGCUCAACCUGGGAACUGCGUUUGAAACUACAAGACUAGAGUGUGGCAGAGGGGGGUGGAAUUCCGCGUGUAGCAGUGAAAUGCGUAGAGAUGUGGAGGAACACCGAUGGCGAAGGCAGCCCCCUGGGUUAACACUGACACUCAGGCACGAAAGCAUGGGGAGCAAACAGGAUUAGAUACCCUGGUAGUCCAUGCCCUAAACGAUGUCAACUAGUUGUCGGGCCUUUACGGGCUUGGUAACGUAGCUAACGCGUGAAGUUGACCGCCUGGGGAGUACGAUCGCAAGAUUAAAACUCAAAUGAAUUGACGGGGACCCGCACAAGCGGUGGAUUAUGUGGAUUAAUUCGAUGCAACGCGAAAAACCUUACCUACCCUUGACAUGUAUCGAAGCCCGCAGAAAAGCGGGGGUGCCCGAAAGGGAACGAUAACACAGGUGCUGCAUGGCUGUCGUCAGCUCGUGUCGUGAGAUGUUGGGUUAAGUCCCGCAACGAGCGCAACCCUUGUCAUUAAUUGCCAUCAUUUAGUUGGGCACUUUAAUGAGACUGCCGG
rnacentral:rRNA from 1 species